GGGGACGUAGCUCAGCUGGGAGAGCGCCGCGUUCGCAAUGCGGAGGUCGAGGGUUCGAUCCCCUUCGUCUCCA
rnacentral:tRNA from 1 species